GCUAGUGUGGCUUAGUGGUUAUAGUGUAGGACCUGGAAGACCAGGGUUCAAAUCCCUGCUCAACAGUG